UCUCUCUCUGACCCUCCCCUGCUCACACUGUCUCUCUCAAAAAUAAAACAUGAAAAAAAAAAACUUAAAAUGACCCAGAUUACAGAUGAUAAUACGGCUAAUAAUGAUAAUAACAGUUGGUAUUUGGAGGAUUUAGUGCUAACAUUUGUAUAAAAUAUCUAGCACAGGACAAUGUAUAGAUAGUAUUUGUUUCCAUAUUUGAUUAAAUCUGAUUUCAAACAUAUUAAAAAACUUGUUUAAAAAAAAUAAAAGGCUGUUUUAAAGUCAAGGAACCGGUAUUAGGUCACUCAGAUCUACCUAAGGACUCUAUUUGGUAGUAACUAGUGAUAAACUAGCUGUUGGCCAAAUAAGGUUUAAAUAAAUGGGGAUCUAAACGAAGACUUUUGUCACCAGAAAUAUUUCCAUUGCACUCGUGGAGUUUUGCCUAGAUUAAGUCCAGCACAGUUGUUGAAGAAAGAGGUCCACCCAGGCCAUUACUGGAGUUUGGUGGAGUAGAGAACCCAGGUUCCAGCAAGUCUAGCUAACAGUUACUGAACCUGCACCUUUCUAAGCAUUUUACAGUAUUGGUGUGUGUGAUCCUGGGUACCGAACACUAAGGAUCUUCUGAAUCUUGGGCUAUAAAAGCGAGGACAACACCAUCCUACAGUUUUGUGAUGAGUAAAUGAUGUCUGUAAAUAUAUUAAGGUACAGACUUUAAGUCAUUGCCAAUAGUAUACAUGGCUGGAACAGGGAAAAGAGAAGCAACAAAAAUAAAUUUACUCAAGGGAAUAAGAAUAAGUAUAGAGGUUUAGUUUGUUUCAGUUUGGGGAAUUGUUAGCUCAUUCUAUGAAGGAGAACAAACAGAAAAGGUGUCUACACUCCAAGGGAAUAUCAGAUCUUUGACAGUUAUUUCACUGUUUGCAAUCAGUCAAAAGUAAGAAAAUGAAAAUGACUGAACAUUUUUCUUCUUUGCAUAAGUAUAAGAAAUAUUACAGUUAUCUGGGGUUUUCAUGGCUGAAGGAAACAUUUCCUCAAUUCGGUUAGAGGUCGGGCCCUUCACUUUAAAACAAACUUCUGCUUGCUGUUCUGUCUUAUGGGAGAUUUCAUUUCCAGAAAGGUUAUGUGUUUUACCAAAUUGCCCGUCAGAUGAUUUCUGUUCUUCAGAAAUGGUUCCUCCAGUCCUUUCCUCUCCCUAUACCUCCUUUGAAUUCUCCCAUUGUCCUUGCCCUGCUAACCCGUCUUCCAUACUGUGGCCCAAUUAUGUUCUAUAAAACAAGCUAAUGCAUGUAAACACUGGUGAAAUCUGAAUAAGGUCUGUAGCCAUUUCACUGCAUUGUGCUAAUAACAGCUUCCCGGCUUUGAUAAUUUUCUAUGGUUGUGUAAAAUGUUACUACCAUCGGAUGGAGCUGGGUGAGUGGACAUGGGCCCUCUCUGCAACUUCCUGUGAGUAUAUUAUUAUUUCAGAGUAAAAAAUGAUAGAAACAGAAAUCAUCAAUAAUUGCUUGCCUCUGAGGAGGGGAGGGGAGUGGGAAUUGACUACAGAGAGAACUUUCUGAGGUGAUGAGGAUAUUCUAAGACUUGAUUGUCUUAGUGUUUACUGUACACCCCAAAAGGGUAAAGUUUACUUCUAUACAGUUACACCUGAAAAUUGACUUGAAAAAAAAAGAAAAGCAAGCUCUUGUCACCCUAGCCUCUUGUGGUCUAGAGGGUGAAACUUAACUUCUCAUAUAAGGUCCAAGAAAUUUUUCCUUUGUCUGCUGAUGUACCCUGUGCUGUCUUGUACUAUAUUGAUUCCUGUCACUGAGCCUUUGCAUAUGCUCUUCCCUUUGCUUAAAGAGAACACAGGAAAUUCAGGCCCAAAUUCAAAUUCCCUGUACUCUCUUAAGCCUUAUUUGAUGCCAUUAGGCAUACUAGCGCCUUCAUCUGUUAUGCUUACUUACGUUGUGCUGUAAUUUUUAUUUUAUGUGUUUAUGUCAAAGAGAGAAUCUUCAGUAGGAUCCAUGCAGAACCUGAUACAGGACUCAAUCCCAUGACCCUGGGAUCAUGACCUGAAGUGGAAUCAAGAGUUGGACCUUCAACUGACCGAGCCACCAGGCACUCCUCUGUGCUGUGAUUUUUAAUUAGUUUUCAUCUCUUCUCUCAGCUAAACUUUCUGGAGGCAGGACCUUUCCUUCUCUGCUGACAGAGUUGUCAAUGGAGAUAAAGCUGUCCACCUGGAUAGAGCUGGAAGUUGUGGCAGUCAUGCCUCUUGGCCUUCAUUUUCCCAAAGUGGAAGUAAUCUCUAUGGCCAAUGUGGGGCUUGAACCCACGACCUCAAGAUCAAGAGUCACAUGCUCUAUCACCUGAACCAGCCAGUCGCCCCCUACUUUAUUUUAUUUUGUUUAUUUUUUAAGAUUUUAUUUUUAAGUAAUCUCCACACCCAAAGUGGGGCUUGAACUCACAACCCCGAGAUCAAGAGUUGCAUACUCUUGAGUAUGCAGACUGAGCCAGCCAGACGCCCCACCCCCAAUUUUAGAGCAUUUCAUCCCUCCCAAAAGAAAUUCUCCAAAUUUACUCCCCAAGAGAAAUGCGCUCCAGCCUCAGGCAGCCAUUAAUCUACUUUGUUCUAUGGAUUUGUGUAUGACAGUCAUUUCAUAUAAAUGGGAUCAGGCAAUAUA